GGGCUCAUAGCUCAGUUGGCUAGAGCGCUUGCAUGGCAUGUAAGAGGUCGCGGGUUCGAGCCCCGCUGAGUCCA
rnacentral:tRNA from 1 species